rnacentral:rRNA from 1 species
UACGUAGGGGGCAAGCGUUGUCCGGAAUCAUUGGGCGUAAAGCGCGUGUAGGCGGCUCGAUAAGUCUGCUGUGAAAGUCCAAGGCUCAACCUUGGGAUGCCGGUGGAUACUGUCGAGCUCGAGUCCGGAAGAGGAGUGUGGAAUUCCUGGUGUAGCGGUGAAAUGCGCAGAUAUCUGGAGGAACACCGGUGGCGAAGGCGGCAUCCUGGACCGGCAUUGACGCUGAGGCGCGAAAGCCAGGGGAGCAAACGGG